UUUGCGAUAACUUACAAGUAAAUGCGACUACUUUUAAAUUUUCAUUAACUUGUGUAGUAGUAGCGAAUUCAGAAUAUUUAAAACCCAGAAAGGAUAAGAACAACGAUAAGCUGCCAGAUGAAUGUACUUUCAAGAUGUAAACCAUCACAAAUGAUGCCUGUUUGUAUUUACCAGUUUUUAAAAGAAAAUGUAGGAUCAAAUUUGAUGUGAUUCAAAACAAAUCUUCAAACUGACAAUGGCAGAAAGCAAGUGGAAAUGGAAUACUCUAGUUGAUGAAAAUGGUCUGCUCAGCUUGGUCAGUUCACAAAUAUUUUGUUGGAAAAUCAACAAUGCCAUCGACUUGAAUACAUUUGUCAUUUUCCAUGUACAAACAAUAUAGAAAUAAAAUUUGUUUAUACAUUU